rnacentral:lncRNA from 1 species
CUAAAUGUCUAAUGUAGCCGUGGAAACCUGCAUCAUAUAUUCGAUCAUAUAUUAAACAAUAGAUCUAUGUAAAAGAAAUAUUUUAUAUGCGAUAUAUAAUGUGUGAAUAACCUUUCUAAAAUGGGUAAUUCCCAAGUUUAUGUGCAAAGUCUGGUAUUCAAUCUAGUGGAUCGUAGUGAUGUGAUCGACCUCACAGCCUUUUCAUCUGCAAGUCUUCUUCGUACCACUGUUUAGCACCUCUUAUUACAGUGAGCUCAGAGUACUACGGCUGCUACUGUUUGGUUACCAAAACUAUCACCAACACAAACACCAGCAUCAUUACAUCACCACUACCAUUAUCAUCACAACAACUACUACUAUUACUACUACUACUACCAGUCUCUCUACGAUCACUAAGCUUUUGGGGGAUGGCUUUUUAAAAGUACCUACAUUAUUCGAAUUAUCAUCUAUUUCAUAUCUAACUUGAUCUGUGGCAUACCAAAGUUAUUGUUGACCACUUAUCCAGAAAGACAGCAUCAUGGAGUGUCACAUAUUCUGUUCAUUCAUCUUGAAGAAAUGCUAUCCCAUCUUACAACAGUGAAUCUUUGUCAGCUUAA